UCCCAGGUGACUUAGUGGUAAAGAACCUGCCUGCCAAGCAGGAGACACAGGAGAGGUGGGAUCGAUCCCUGGGCUGGGAA
rnacentral:tRNA from 1 species